rnacentral:misc_RNA from 1 species
GAUGAAGAACGCAGCGAAAUGCGAUAAGUAGUGUGAAUUGCAGAAUUCAGUGAAUCAUCGAAUCUUUGAACGCACAUUGCGCCCUUUGGUAUUCCUUAGGGCAUGCCUGUUCGAGCGUCAUUUAAACCUUCAAGCUCAGCUUGGUGUUGGGUGACUGUCCGCUUCACCGCGGACUCGCCUCAAAAUUAUUGGCGGCCGGUACAUUGGCUUCGAGCGCAGCAGAAACGCGAACUCGGGCCCGUCGUAUUGGCUCCCAGAAGCUAUCUUCACAAUUUUGACCUCGGAUCAGGUAGGGAUACCCGCUGAACUUAAGCAUAUCAAUAACGGAGGA